rnacentral:rRNA from 1 species
GACGUAGGAGGCGAGCGUUGUCCGGAUUCAUUGGGCGUAAAGAGCGCGCAGGCGGCUUGGUAAGUCGGAUGUGAAAUCCCGAGGCUCAACCUCGGGUCUGCAUCCGAUACUGCCCGGCUAGAGGUAGGUAGGGGGAGAUCGGAAUUCCUGGUGUAGCGGUGAAAUGCGCAGAUAUCAGGAGGAACACCGGUGGCGAAGGCGGAUCUCUGGGCCUUACCUGACGCUGAGGCGCGAAAGCUAGGGGGAGCGAACAGG